rnacentral:rRNA from 1 species
UACGUAGGGUGCAAGCGUUAAUCGGAAUUACUGGGCGUAAAGCGCGUGUAGGCGGUCCGGUAAGUCCGCUGUGAAAGUCGGGGGCUCAACCCUCGAAUGCCGGUGGAUACUGUCGGGCUAGAGUGCGGAAGAGGCGAGUGGAAUUCCUGGUGUAGCGGUGAAAUGCGCAGAUAUCAGGAGGAACACCUAUUGCGAAGGCAGCUCGCUGGGACGUAACUGACGCUGAGACGCGAAAGCGUGGGGAGCAAACAGG